rnacentral:rRNA from 1 species
UACGUAGGGACCGAGCGUUGUCCGGAAUCAUUGGGCGUAAAGAGCGUGUAGGCGGCCACUUAAGUCCUGCGUGAAAUCUUGCGGCUCAACCGCAAGCGGUCGUGGGAAACUGGGUGGCUAGAGUGCGGGAGAGGAGAGUGGAAUUCCUGGUGUAGCGGUGGAAUGCGCAGAGUAUCAGGAAGAACACCCGUGGCGAAGGCGGCUCUCUGGAACGCAACUGACGCUGAGACGCGAAAGCGUGGGGAGCAAACAGA